rnacentral:rRNA from 1 species
UACGAAGGGUGCAAGCGUUACUCGGAAUUACUGGGCGUAAAGCGUGCGUAGGUGGUGAGUUAAGUCUGUCGUGAAAGCCCCGGGCUCAACCUGGGAACUGCGCUUGAGACUGGCACGCUAGAGUUCGGGAGAGGGUAGUGGAAUUCCCAGUGUAGAGGUGAAAUUCGUAGAUAUUGGGAAGAACACCAGUGGCGAAGGCGGCUACCUGGCUUGGAACUGACGCUCAGGUGCGAAAGCGUGGGGAGCGAACAGG